AUGGAGUGCUCCCAACCAGAAGAUGAGGGAAAUGGAGAUAAUGAAGCACGUCCCUCCUACCAAACACGAUAAAUUCUACAGGCACUGUAAGAUCAAGAAUUUAAGAUUAUUUUUGUCCCACCCUAUUUUACAGGUGAGGUAUCAAGCACAGUAACUCGUAAUUUUCUUUUGGCCCAAUUGAAAGGUAUCAUAUAAGAGAAAGCUGUGUGUGCGUGAAAAGGAUCCGC
rnacentral:lncRNA from 1 species